UCCUCCGGACCAGCAGGUGUCGCUGGAGGAGAUAUCCCACCGGAAGACGGUACCUCACCCGGAAAAGGAGAACGGAGGGAAAGGACGGUGGAGCAAUUGUUUUUGGACUGUGCGCAAAGAUUUGGCUUUUGUUUGGCUCUUUCGAUAAUCCAGUGAGUUUUUAACCCACCACCGCUCGACGCACCCUCGCAGCAGGCUUCCGUCUCGCCCUGCUCUCCGCAGAGAUGUCCGUGGUGCCUCCCAGUCGUUCGGCCGCCGGCUGGCCGCGCGGUGGUGCCGUUCAGUUCGGGAACAAGUACCUCAGCGGGCCCGCGAAACCGCUCACCCUGGAGAGGACCAUCAACCUAUAUCCUCUCACCAACUACACAUUCGGCACCAAGGAGCCUCUGUAUGAGAAGGACAGUUCAGUGGCAGCCCGGUUCCAGAGGAUGCGGGAGGAGUUUGAUAAAAUGGGAAUGCGAAGGACAGUCGAGGGUGUCCUCAUUGUUCAUGAACACAGGCUGCCUCAUGUGUUGCUUCUACAGCUGGGCACCACCUUCUUUAAACUGCCUGGUGGAGAGCUGAGUGCUGGAGAAGAUGAGGUGGAGGGUCUGAAGCGUCUGAUGACUGAGAUCCUUGGGCGACAGGACGGGGUGAAGCAGGACUGGGUGAUUGACGACUGCAUCGGAAACUGGUGGCGUCCCAACUUCGAGCCUCCACAGUACCCCUACAUUCCAGCUCACAUCACCAAACCCAAGGAGCAUAAGAAACUGUUUCUUGUCCAGCUGCAGGAAAAGGCGCUGUUUGCUGUCCCCAAGAACUACAAACUGGUGGCAGCACCAUUGUUUGAACUGUAUGACAAUGCUCCUGGAUAUGGACCGAUCAUUUCCAGUCUACCGCAGCUACUGAGCAGGUUCAACUGUGGACAGCAGGGUGGCACGGAGCCUACAGCUCUACAGACUGAUAUCCAUCCUGCUGAUAUUUCUGAACACAACACUGGAGACCUUUUAAAAUUGAGUAACUAAACCUGCAACACAUCAGGCCAGAAAGAAAAAAAGAAGACUUGAGUUUGCAGAUAAAAAAAUAAAAAAGUUAUCCUGUUUAUAUGAAAUGAACCAGCAGCACAUAAAAGUGUUCAACUUCAUCUACAACUAACGUGAGUGAGCAAGAGUCCCAUCUGGCUGUCUCUGUGAGUGCAGCCCCGUCUGAGUGAAGCUUAAACAUAGAAGAGCAAUGUGAUGAAAGAGACUCGUCUCUGGCUCAACUUUGACAGAAGAAAUAUACUUGUCAUGUCAGGUAUAUUUACAGUCCAUGGGGGUGUUUAUACUGUUAGAAGAAAAUGUCAUGUGUAUGGUUUUUUUUUUUAUCAGAAAGAAACUGCUAGCUUUUGUGGUAUCUGAGUGCUUAUUCCAGUUUGUUCACGAUCUGAUUUUAUGUUGUCUCAGGAGGUCAGUGUGAUUAAACAAAAUACAAAAUUGA